rnacentral:misc_RNA from 1 species
UGUGGGAGCGGGCUUGCUCGCGAUGCAGGCGAUCCGGUUUGCCUGAUGCACUGCGGUGAUGCCAUCGCGAGCAAGCCCGCUCCCACA